GAUGAACGCUGGCGGCGUGCCUAAUACAUGCAAGUCGAGCGAACAGACGCGGCGCUUGCUGCUCUCACGUUAGCGGAAGGCGGGUGAAUCACGCGUGGAUCACCUACCUAUCAUACUGGGAUCACUUCGGGACACCGGCGCUUAUCCCGUAUGAUAUCUUGCAGCGCGUUGUUCAAUAGUAAAAGACGGUGUUUCUGUCACUUCUCGAUGCAUCCGAGCCGCAUUGGCUAGUUGGUAAGGUCACGGCCUACCAAGGGAACGAUGCGUAGCCGACCGGAGAGGGUGAUCGGCCACAUGGGAACUGAGACACGGUCCAGAGUCCUACGGUAGGCAGCAGUAGGGAACCUGCGGCAAUGGGCGAAAGCCUGACGGAGCAACGGCGAGUGAGUGACGAAGGUCCUCGGAGCGGAAAACUCUGUUACUAGGGAAGAACAAAUGUGGAAGUAACCAUGCACGUAUUGACGGUACCUAAUAAGAAAGCCCCGGCUAACUACGUG
rnacentral:rRNA from 1 species